AUCUAAUCGGCAUUUCUAUCCCGGACUUCCAACAAUUCCAAUAUCCUGACUCUCAUUCCCAAGCUGGAAACAAGGGAUUAGGUAGACUCAUUGUAGUAUAGGGUUUGGCUUACUUGAUCUCUGGUCUGGGCACGAGGGUAUACUUCCUUCCUCUAUAUCAUAUCUCCCGGUAUACUUCCUUCCUCUAUAUCAUAUCUCCUUGGAAUUAGUUAUUCGAGGAGGGUUAGCUGGUAGAAUGAGUCAAUACAGGCUGUCCUAUUUGCGUGGAAUUACUUACUUGCGGGCAGGGUUUUUGUUUUAGGGUCUAUCACGCUUCCCCACUCGAGUUCUUGCAAAAGGUCAUUUCUAUAGAACGAUGGUUACUCUAGCGAAAGGAUAACUCCCAAGGUGGCUAGUAGAAUUCAGAAAGGAACUCAGGUGCCCUCUCUUCGGUCGAGCCUAUUGCGCUCCUCCUCACCUAUAAGCCAGAACAGAACUCUUUUUGGAGCGAAGGCGACCAACGGUAUAGGUUUCGAAGAACGACCAACGUUAUAGGAACGAAAGGGCUUUUUAUCGGGCGUUAAGGAAGAAGGCUAGUCAAAAAAGAGUCUUUAUGAGGCAACCCGAGAGUGAGAAGUGAGAGUCGAUUUUCUCACAAACAGAUAUUUAAAUAUAUACACAAACUUAUAUGGAAUUAUAUAGAAUAUGGAAAUAGGAGCAGCUAUAGCUAUGUCAUCCUCUUCUACUAGUGAUGAAUGUGCUCAAAAGGCCUCUUCUCUUCGGGAACUCAAACAUCUUAUUAUUGAUGAAUGUGCUAUAUGCCAAAUCAUAGCGUAAAGAUAGUAAGCAAGGGCUUGUCUUGUCCCUUCACCGCCCUGCCUUCCCUCCGAGUUUACUUUACUGGAGUAGCUCCUGGACUUUAUCUUAGUUGACUGGACUCGCCAUUGGAGGGACUGGCCAUUUUUCGGCGCAGACUCUUUCCUUAUUUUCUUUUGCGGUUAUUCCGAGAAUCGCUUCUUCUUUCAAAGAGCCGAUUCGUGAGCACAGACGAUUGGAUAACAUAGGAUUUCCUUGACUCAUUCUAAGGGUAUAGAAUAGGAUCCUCGGUGUCAAAGAGAGGAAGAGUGAGAACCAGGGUAUAAAAAGAGUUACCGCCGGCGAAUGGAACUCAAGACCAGCGGCAUCUGCUAGAGCCCAGCCCCCAAUUGGUGGUGGGUGGUAUUCAGAGUUUCAAACAGAGUCUGUCUAUUGCCUCAGGGGCGGCGGAAAAAGACGAAGCGCUACUAGGGAGUUUCAGUAUAAGAGUGAAAACCAUCAUAGAAACGAUGGCACUGGUCUUUCUCCUUUAUGCUUUAUUAAAUGAAAAGGCAGAGUAGUGGAAUGGCUGCUUCCACGCUUCGAAGCUUAAAGACAGAAAGUGACCCGCAACUCAACAAGUGGAGUGAACGGAACUUAUAGAAUAACCGGGAAAUUUCCUAGUCUAACUAGAAUUGUGGGUGGCACCGGCCCUGAUUGCUUUCAUUUCGUAGCUGGCACAUUCGUUACUUUUGAAGUGGUAAGCAGAAGAGUCAGAGUGCUCCCAUACAGGAGUGAGUUUUCCCUUACCCAUAAUUGUCAGGGAACUAGGAGUACGCCCAGAACUCUAAUGAUAAGGCCGAAUCCCCCGAAGGGUUAGAAUAGGGAUCCAGUAGCGUCGUCGUCGGAGGAAGAUGUCGCCGAUAUGGAUUUCCUUCCCCUCAAAGGCUGUCACUGAAUCAAUCUGCUAACUGCCAGAGGUAACCCGCAUCGCAUCAUUCUAGGGAGUUGGUUACAAUCUUCCAUUAUUUAUGUAGUCAUGCCUUCUAAGGAGUAUUUAUUGGUGUUAUAUGGGAUUCUCCCUAAUGUUAUUCCGUAUUUAUCAUGGUAGCUUGCCAAAAGAUGGUUACCGAUUAUGAAAUAAGGUUGUUUUUUGACAGUCUUAAACAAAUGGGAAAGGUGGAUAGACAGUUCAGGCUUCACUUCCUGGGGCUUCAUUAAGGAUUAUUCCAACUUUACUUAAGUUAUUACAAUUUAUGCUUUCGUCGAGCGGUAGGAGUUGGCCAAGUCCCUCCUACUAGUCCUUGGGGUUUUAAUGGCGGCAGGGCCGCUAGUUCUUCUUACCUUUCAUCCUAGUUGUCAAUUCUAGAAUCGGCAGUAGUCUCAAAGCGGUCAGCCCCAAGUGGUUUUGUUGAAAGUGUCCUUCUUGUUUCGGUAAGUGAUGAUUCAGUGUCCAAGUCUCAAUGAAAAUGAACCAAAGAAUCAGCUAAUUCCAUUCCGUAAGCUGUAGUAACACCCUAAUUUCUUGUUUCGGGUGCAACUUUCUAUUUCGAUUCCGUUCUUAAAGUAGCUUUCAGCACCUUGUGCUUCUUCGGCGCUAAGAUCCUUUCCCGGUUUACUUUGAGAUGGAUAUGGAGCUGGAUAAGAAUCUGGAUAUGGAGUGUAUUUACUUACUUAUAUGCUAGGUGAUAAAGAUUCCAUUCUUUUUAGGAGAUUCAAGGGUCGGGUGGCUUGUUCCCUUGCGCAUAGAAUUCACUAAAUUAGUAAACCUGGACUGGAAUUCUGGAAUCUCUCUCACACAACUGAUAUAGAUAUAGGAAAGCA
rnacentral:lncRNA from 1 species